rnacentral:rRNA from 1 species
AUGGAGCUGAGUCCAAUCAGCGCUUCGUUGGGCGCCAUGGGCUCCCUUCCGCGCAAGCUCGACGAGCUCCUUGCGACCAAACACCGGGCUCUGCGGGGGGUUCUGAUGGAUGAUAUCGAUCAACUCAGGGCUCAUCUUUGCAUCCUAUACAACUUCAUGCUGAAGCUCUCUGAUGCGCCGCAGGACCCUCCUAUGUUUGUGAGGUACUGGAUGAAGGAUGUGCGCGAGCUAUCCUAUGACAUGGAGGACUUUGCCGACCAAUUCGUCCAUGCUCAUGGCCGUGCCAAGAUCCCUAGAGCUAAUCACCGCAAAAAUAAAACCCGUUCUCGGGUAAAGAUUGACCGCCUUCCAAAGAGGCACAAGUGGCGACCUGGGAUCACCCACAAAAUUUCAGAAUUCAGGUCUCGAGCAUAUGAGGCGAUUCAGCGCUACUGGAGGUACAAGUUUGAUGAUUGCGCCGCCAAUCCUAGGUACUCACCUAUUGGCCAUGGCCGUCCAACUAUUUUGCCACAUCCUGAUGACCUUGUUGGCAUAGAAGGACCAUCAAAUGAGCUCGAGCGGUGGUUGAUCAAUGGAGAGGAGCAGCUCAAGGUGGUGUCCAUUGUCGGUGGUGCAGGAAUCGGUAAGACCACUCUUGCCUUGAAGUUGUGGGGUACACUCCGUGGACAAUUCGAGUGUGGGGCAUUUGUUCGGACAGCACAAAAGCCCGAUAUGAGACGUAUUCUCAGGAACAUACUCUUGCAAGUUCGACCGCACCAAUCUCCCAACCAUGGUGAGAUGCGCCACCUAAUUAACGACCUCAGAGAGUAUCUACAAGACAAGAGGUACUUUCUUAUAAUUGAUGAUUUAUGGGCUACCUCGGUAUGGGAUGUGGUUAGUCGCGCAUUUCCAAAGGGUGGUUGCAGCAGAAUAAUAACUACGACAGAGAGUAUGGAAGUAGCUCUCGCAUGCUGUUGUUUUUGCCCUGAGCACAUUUUUAAAAUGGAACCUCUUAGUGAUAAUGACUCAGAGAAAUUACUGCUCCAAAGAAUCCUUGUCUCAGGAAAUCAAAGUCCGCAACAGUUUGAAGAUGUUAUACCUCAGAUUAUUAGAAGUUGUGGUGGCUUGCCAUUAGCAAUCAUCAUUGUAGCCAGAAUUUUAGCAAGCCAACCUGAGAAACUAGACCAAUGGGGCAGUGCACAGAAUUCUUUUCAUUCCAUUUUUGGGACAAAUCCUAACAAGGAAGGGUUUAUGGGACAAAUAUUGGACAUUUGUUUCAAUAGUCUUCCACAUUAUUUGAAGACAUGUCUGCUCUAUCUUAGUACAUAUCCAGAGGGCUACCUAUUCUCAAAAAAUGAUUUGAUGAAGCAAUGGGUAGCUGAGGGUUUAAUAUGUGCAAACAAAGGUGAAGACAUGGAGGAAGUUGCCGGGAGCUAUUUUGGUGAGCUUGUCAGUAUGGGCCUGAUCCAAGUUAUGGAUAUCACCAAUGAUUUUGAGUUCUUGUCUUAUUCAGUACACCAGCUGGUACUUGAUCUCAUUACAUACAAGUCCAUUGAAGAUAACUUCAUCACUAUGGUGGAUUAUUCGCAAACAACAACACCACUUACUGAUAAAAUUCGUCGAUUGUCGCUACACUUUGGUAGUGCAGCAUAUGCAACGACACCAGCAAGUACCAGAUUAUCACAAGCACGAUCACUCUUCUUUUCUGGACUGUUUACUAGCAUGCCUUUAUUCAUAUUUUUUAAGCUUCUUCGAGUCCUAAUCCUUCAUAUUUGGGAUGAUACUGGAGCCAAGAUGUUGAACGUUACAGGAAUUUGUGAACUUUUUUGGCUGAGAUAUUUGCAGGUCACAUGUAAUGUCACUGUAAAGCUACCAGAUAAGAUUGAAGCAAUGAAACACCUGGAGACACUGGAAAUAAAUGCAAGAAUACUUGAUGUUCCACCGGAUAUUGUUAGACUUUCGAGCUUGUUGCAUCUCUGCCUCCGAGGUGCAAAUCUACCUAAUGGUAUUGGGUGCAUCAGAUCUCUACGUACGCUCAUGUAUUUUGACAUUGGCAAUAGCUCCGAAGACAACCUAUGGGGCCUUGGUGAGCUGACAAACCUGCAGGAUCUUCAUCUCACUUAUUCUUCAUCACCCUCUAGUGAACAUUUGAAGAGAAAUCUGGUAGCUUUGGCCUCUUCACUUCGGAAACUUUGCAACCUCAAAUCGUUCACUCUUGCUCCUGGUAUUGCUGGAACUGUUGUUCUUUUUGAUGGCUCAAGCAGCAUGCCUACUCCCAUGUUUCUAGAGAAACUUGAGUUGUUGCCGCCCAUUUGCAUCUUUUCUAGACUUCCCAGGUGGAUCGGACAACUCCACAAAACCUGCAUUAUGAAAGUUGCUGUCAGAGAAUUGCCGACAAUUGAUAUUGCCAUCCUUGCCGGAUUACCUUCCCUCACAGUUCUCUCACUAUCUGUUCAUGCAGCUCCUGAGGGAAGGGUCGUCUUCAACGAUAGGGAAUUCCCAGUUCUCAAGUAUUUUAAGUUUAGAUGUGGUGUACUUUGCAUGCAUUUUAUGCCAGGAGCCAUGCCCAAUCUGCAAAGACUCAAGUUAGGUUUCAACACACAUAUUGGGGAGAAGUAUGACAAUAUGCUUGCUGGAAUUGAGCACCUCUUAAACCUCCACGACAUUGCUGGGAAAAUAGGAGCUACCACCGAGUCUGAAUGGAGUGCUGCAGAGUCAGCAAUCAACAAUGCCAUAAACAAGCAUCCAAGGUUUCCUAGACGUAACUUACAAUGGGUGGAUCCAGUCGAGGAAAAAUGUUGUCCUUCGGAAAAACAUCAUUUGAGACAAGAAAAAGGCACAGUAGGUGAAAAACAUGGGGUUCUAGAGAAAGCGAUUGAUAUGAACAAACAUGCGGACACUGGGUUGUCUCAACCUCCCAAUCUGCCAUCAAAUGUCGCUUCAGGUCGCCUGGAAUCAGGUAGUUUAGUUGACGAAUUACAAGAGUUUUCAGCACCAUCAUUGCCCUGUAAGGUAAGUUGCCCCCUUUGCAAAGAAACCUUACAACGGGAAAUAUUGGAUCUUCAUAAAAGUGAACAGUGCACACAGAGGUUGCUUGUAUGUCAAUAUUGUGAGUACCAAUUGCCUGCAAUUGAACUUCAUGAACAUCAGGCUGUAUGUGUACUUGCAACAGUGUUUUGUGAAACAUGCAAGAAGAAUAUUAGAUAUCGUGAGUGGUUAGGCCACGAAAUGCAGUGUUACGACUCAAAUGAUUCUGCAGAAUUAUCAAGAUUGCCUCAGCUGCCCGAUCUGCCAUCAACUGUGGCUUCAGGUCGCCUGGAGUCAGGUAUGGUUCUUCAGGAAUCAAAAAAUGAGUCGUCAUCAGCACCAUCGUGGCCCCUCAAGGUUUGGCGCUCUGCGGAACAGGAGAGGUGGAUGCCGUUGCCGUAUGGGGGAGAAGCCGACAGUUCUGCUGUCACAGAGUGUAGGCACGCCCACAAGCUCAUCUUGAAGAUUCUCGGGGCGGCGGCGACGGCCCGCCAGAACAGGCUCGAGUGUGAGAACCUCGCACAGUGCCUGCACGAAAUCAACGCCUUGUUCCCUGACCUGCGGCUGGACCGGGAGAUGGCGCAACCGCUGGCCAAGCUAAACCAGAGGCUCAUGGAGGCGCAUGAGCUCGUUGUGGCUUGCCAGAGCUGGAAGUUCAUCUUUGCCCGCGGCGUCAAUGCGGAGCGGCUCAGGGACGUCAGGCGCAGGAUCCUUGAGUUCCACAUGUUUGUCAAGGAGAAGGAGCGCCUCUGGGCGAAAGAGAACACGAGAUGA